GACGGAGGAUGCAAGCGUUAUCCGGAAUUAUUGGGCGUAAAGCGUCCGUAGGCGGUUUAUCAAGUCUGCCGUUAAAGACUGCAGCUUAACUGUGGGCGAGCGGUGGAAACUGAUUAACUAGAGUGUGGUAGGGGUAGAGGGAAUUCCCAGUGUAGCGGUGAAAUGCGUAGAUAUUGGGAAGAACACCAGUGGCGAAGGCGCUCUGCUGGGCCACAACUGACGCUGAGGGACGAAAGCUAGGGGAGCGAAAGGG
rnacentral:rRNA from 1 species